GACGAACGCUGGCGGCGUGCUUAAAACAUGCAAGUCGAACGGACUUCUCAUGAAGCUUGCGAUUGAGAAGUUAGUGGCGGACGGGUGAGUAACGCGUGGGCAACCUGCCCCUGAGCCCGGGAUAACAGUUCGAAAGGACUGCUAAGACCGGAUAUACUUGCGGGGAAGCAUUUCACUGCAAGGAAAGGGAACGCUCAGGGAUGGGCCCGCGUCCCAUUAGCUAGUUGGUGAGGUAACGGCCCACCAAGGCGACGAUGGGUAGCCGGCCUGAGAGGGUGAACGGCCACACUGGGACUGAGACACGGCCCAGACUCCUACGGGAGGCAGCAGUUGGGAAUCUUCGGCAAUGGGCGCAAGCCUGACCGAGCAACGCCGCGUGAGUGAUGAAAGGUUUUCGGAUUGUAAAGCUCUGUCUUCCGGGACGAUAAUGACGGUACCGGAGGAGGAAGCCACGGCUAACUACGUG
rnacentral:rRNA from 1 species